UAAAUAAAACAUACAAUAAAACAAAAAGAUCACAUCAUAGUCGAUAGAACACACCUCAAAGGCAACACCAUGUAUAUACCUAACCACUGGCUCUGCAUUGUCAACUGUAUUUUAAAUACACAUCUUCAAGUUAAAAUGUUUCAAUCGUGGUUUGUCAACUAUCCUGUGACUGAGAGCUACCUGAAAGGGGAAGUCCUUGCACUUCAGCAUCAUUCCCUACACCAGGAGACUCCAAUGAAGCCGCCCCACAUCCCGAAUGAGCCGUAUCAUCCACCACCCAGGAGAAAGUUACCACUUCAAAGUCCUGAGCUGUGUCACAGAUCAGAACACUUAACUAUUUCCUUGGAACCAAUCUGUAUAAUGGACAGCCCAGCUAACAUUGGAACCCCAGCACUUCUGUCCAGUCACUGUUCAAGGGAAAGACUUUGUGCAACACGGAACUCUGGUCAACACCCAGGGCCUUUCUACUCCUCACAUAAUGUUCCAUUCAACCAGUCUAACAUUCGUGCCUCAGUAGAUGGGCAACAGUCCCGGCCUCCCACUGACUUCCAUUACAUCUCCCCUAAGUGCAUGAGGGAUGUAAGCAACUACAGUACCUCGUCUUUUCACAUGAGGAGAGAUCAAGUAACCAAACCCAAGGACACCUUGUGUUUUUCAGGAAGCAAGAAUGUAACUGCGAUAAAUCAAGACUCAAACAAGACUCAACCUAGUGAUUUUAGAAGUUUCUUAUUUACUCCCCAGCAGCACAGGCCUCAUGUGAGCCCACCAGAGAGAGCAGCUGAAGAAGUUUAUCCACAGCAACCCUCGUACUGUGAGCCCCAGAGUCCUGGGAACUGCCAUUGCCCCCCAAGUUACUGCAAAUAUCCUCUGAGUAGACGGUCUUCUGACAGAAGAAGUGAUGUUGGUGUACCUAUGAUGCACAGCCCUGCACGCCCUGACCAGGACCAGCAAUAUAAACGAGUACCUUCAAGUGUAAAGUCAACUCCAGCAGAGGACUCGCAUUGCUCGUCAUUGAAGAGGCGAAGGGACUCUGAGGACAACUCGACCAGCCCAUCAUUAGUGUCUUCAUUGAAGUGUUCUUCGGACUUUAAACUGCAACAGAAAACCACAGACAGCCACCUGUGUACAGAGCCAGUAUGUGGCCAGUCGUCACAUCUGGUUGACACUGAUGCACAGGAUGACGAUUCCAAACAUUACAUAAGGAAGGCAUAUAUAACUUCCUCUCAGGAUCAGAUCAUCAAGAUCAGAUUAUCUGAAAUGCCUGCUGAUGGAUGUUUGAGAAAAACAGAAGUGGAACCUGUUAGAAAGACUAAAUGUAGCACUUUAUUCUCCCCCAAGGUCACGAGUAGUUUGCCUCAUACGCACAGUACCUCAGUUCUACAAGUGAAGACUCCAAGGACCAAGAUGAGCAUUGCGUCCAAAUCAUCCUCAAAGUUAAAUUCAGGUUCUCAGGUUGAACUGAAUAAAACUGGCCGCCUACGAAGACAUGGUGUGAUGCCUAAUUACACAGAUUAUCUCUUUACCCCUGAUCCCAUUUCCUAUUUAGUCAGCCCUGCACAUAAAACGGCAAAACCUGAGAGAGCUGGAUCAACCAUUAAGUCUACCAUGCCAGAGAAAAGCUGUUCAUCCACUACAUCCGUUAGAUCCAGUACUCGAGUUACUGGAUCCUCAUGUCAAAAAACUCAGAACUCCACAGUAAGGGGCUUUACUAAUGCAGAAGACACCAAAGUCCCUUAUUCAGUAGGUAACAUACAAUUCCAAUUGCCUUCUGUAACUUUAGAGAGGAUAAAACUUGAAAACAUUCCUUCUCGCUCUAAAGACAGUGAACCCAUCACCAUUUCAGGUAGGCAACUUCAGGGCACGAGUGUUAAAUCUGAAGAGGAACACACGACUCUCCUCGCUCACAAUGUGACUUCAGUGACGGGCACCACUGCCUCUAAAGAGAUGUUUCAUUUCACAGAAGUGAAGAAGGAGACAGGUGAAAGGAAUGGAAAAAAGACAAAUGAAGAAGAUUCUGCCGAUAUUGAGUCUGUAGAACUUGACCUAGACUUCAGCUUUGAGUUAGAUGUGGGUUUAGCCCAGAGCUCUCAGAGCAGUGAAGAAGAGCAGCUGCUUUCCUUGCAGGAGAUGAUUGAGUCGGUUACCAAGCCUCCAGAUACACCAGAGAAGGGAGCCUUUUCAGAGCCAAGUACACCUGGAAAUCAUAGCAUGCGGUUACGUGCUCGAUUGUCUUCCCCUACAAAGCCAGGUCUCUACAAAAACAACCUUGAUCUACUGCUGAAGGAAAUCAACACCAAUAAAAAAGCUAAAAAGAGUGAGGAGCAGCUUCUGUUGAUGUGCAAAGAGGACCUGCUGAGAAUAGCCAAAUUUGAGGAGGACCAGGAGCAACAAGAGGAGGCCAUCACCAGUGAACAGCAGGAAUUUGUGCAACGCUACACAUUGAUGUCAGAUGGACUCAGGGAAGUUCCUCCAGGAGAAGCGGUGUUCAACCUGGAGAAGUUUGGUCAGAUAUUCAACCAGGACACACUGCAGCUAAGAAAAUACAUGGUCAAGCCACAGGGGAUGGCACAAAAAACUCUUCUUUGGUCCAGUCCAGCUCAGCUGAGAUCACAUGUGACCAUGGGGUUGUUUCAAGAGGCGUACGACUGUCAAUCGCCUUGUCCAACUCAAGUCAGCCGCUUCCUGUUCAAGAUGAUGUCGGUCCACACGGAGAGGCUGAUAUCCGAAAAGAUACUCGAGGUCCUCCGUGACAUCGCCUGCACUGCUGCGUGUCAGAUAGUGGAAAGUGAAAGCCAGCAGUUUAAAGUGUGGGUCCCCAGUUUGGCCGAUGUGACACUGGUCCUGCUGAACAUGGGAGUUCCAUUUGUUUCCCUCUUCCCUUUUGAAAAUCUGCAGCCUCAAUUCACAGAAGGAGAUUUGCUGGAGGAUGUUUACAUAUAUAAAAGUGAAAGUCCUUCCCAUAACAAGGAACAGAAAACUGUUCCUGAACACAACUACAGCACCAUAUUGAAGUAUCUGUCUCUCUGUAUGGGCCUGUGUCCACGAGCAUACAGCGACGAUGAGCUGCUUUUGCUGCUCUCUGUGUUGGAAAGAGUGAGCCUUGACACUCAGCUCAUCCUCCAGCCCAGUGUGGAAAUCUUCCCUCUUCUAUAUAAAAUUCUCAACAACUUCAGGGACUGGAAAUCUAUGCUGCCCAGAAUCUGUCUGGCCCUUACUGAUCUGACAGAUGACCACCACAACAUGUGUCUGCUCAUUCAGCAGCUGCCUGACAACAAACGUGGAAAGCAACUGCGCCAACAUCUGAGUCUGUCUAUGAUUUCUAAACUGUUGAAUGGAAAAAGCACAUACAGGCCUACAGAAGAAGAGUUUCAGCUCUCUGCGCUGAGGCCAUAUUUGCCCGCUAUGCAACCUUCCACCAUUAUUCAAGGAAUGCUGAGCUCCUCCAGCCGGAGUUGGAGAGAUAAAGAUGAGGAUAUGGCUUAUCUAGACCAACAGUCCUACUACCUCUGCUAUAGCCUGCUGACAUUGACAAAUGAGGCUUCCAACUUUCAGUCUUUCCCAGCCCAUCAGAACGACCAGCUGCUGUGUCUGUACUCUGACCUGGAUGUACAUGUUAAGUGUGACAUCAGGGAGAGUGAGAAAUGUCUGUACCGAAGCAAGCGUCAGUCAGUCAGGAAGGGAGGGAGGAAAACUUUGAAGAUCAAGCCUGGUGAUUAAGGGUCAGUAGCUUGAGCAGAGAAGCCCAGACUUCCCUCUCCCCUGCCACUUUGUCUGGUUCUUCCUGGGCUGUCCUGAGCUGUUCCCAGGCCAGCCGAGAGACAGUCUCCAGCGAGUCCUGGUUCUUCCACCUCAUCUGGCUCCUCAUGUGGAGGAGCAGCGGCUCUUCUCUAACCCCUUCCAAAUGACUGAGCUUUCAUUCUCACCCUAUCUCUAUGGUAAAGGAUUUAGUUUCCAGAAUUGACAUCAAGUGGCAGAAUAUGCUUCAGAAGACCAAGCCCUUCUAUUCAUGGUCUGCUGUAUGAUCACUGGCAACCUCAGUAGCCGAGAAGAGGAUGGCAUAUGGAUAGGGACGAUGAAGAGGAUGUCCAGAUGGAAGAGGACAAAAUCCAGUGGACGGCAGAAGAGGCAAUUGUUCUAGAAGAUUAAAGGCCCAGUGUGUAAGAAUUAGAGACUGCGAAAUGCAACAGAGGGCUCCUCCACUUCCACUGCUGACCACACUGAGGCCUUUACAUACAACGGAGGAUGUCGUUUUUUGAUUUCAUAUUUUGCUUCUGCUUUAAUGUGUUUAUAUACAAACCGUAUAUUUAAUUCUGCCAAUAAACUCUCCAUAUACGCACAAAUUACACACUGGGCCUUUAAGUACAGGUUCUAUAUGUAGUCUUUUGCUUUUAAAUGACCAAGUAAUUUACAGAAUGUACCAUACAUAUGGUAUUGUGCUUUUUUUUUUUUAGCCCAGUAAGUUAAAUAUUUGAUACCUUGAUCCUAAAUGUUGUUUCUUAAUUUGGCAGUGAUGGCAGUGUCUGUGAUUUAAAUAUCAUUAACAAGUUGGUUAUUUAUGCCAAUAUUCUGCUGGAUUUGCAAUACAGCGGCCGCUAGUCAGUGCUUUACUGAACUAUUACUUGUUUGUUUCCUACAGUAAUUAAAGUUAUACUUGUCAUUGCAGGAAAAACAGAUGAGGCGUUUCUAAUAAUAUUAAUGGUCUCGGUUCUAUUAAAAUAUUUCUAGGAAGCCGCAUCACACUGUACCAUAAAGUUCUGAAACAGAAUUAGUUCAGCAAUCAAUUUCCUACAGGUUCCUUUAAAUUUUUUCAGUGAAAAAGGCCUUUAAAUUGUCAAUAUUGUUCUUGUACAUAAUGUUUUGUUUUAUUGUAAUAUUUACUCUUGUGUUGAUUGUGCAUGUGUUUUUCAGUUAUUAAACUAUUUUGAAAUACAGAAAAUAAACUUUAUUUACAAAUUCUA